rnacentral:rRNA from 1 species
AUGAACGCUAGCUACAGGCUUAACACAUGCAAGUCGAGGGGCAGCAUUUCAGUUUGCUUGCAAACUGGAGAUGGCGACCGGCGCACGGGUGAGUAACACGUAUCCAACCUGCCGAUAACUCGGGGAUAGCCUUUCGAAAGAAAGAUUAAUACCCGAUGGUAUAAUCAGACCGCAUGGUCUUGUUAUUAAAGAAUUUCGGUUAUCGAUGGGGAUGCGUUCCAUUAGGCAGUUGGUGAGGUAACGGCUCACCAAACCUUCGAUGGAUAGGGGUUCUGAGAGGAAGGUCCCCCACAUUGGAACUGAGACACGGUCCAAACUCCUACGGGAGGCAGCAGUGAGGAAUAUUGGUCAAUGGGCGCAGGCCUGAACCAGCCAAGUAGCGUGAAGGAUGACUGCCCUAUGGGUUGUAAACUUCUUUUAUAUGGGAAUAAAGUUUUCCACGUGUGGAAUUUUGUAUGUACCAUAUGAAUAAGGAUCGGCUAACUCCGUGCCAGCAGCCGCGGUAAUACGGAGGAUCCGAGCGUUAUCCGGAUUUAUUGGGUUUAAAGGGAGCGUAGGUGGACAGUUAAGUCAGUUGUGAAAGUUUGCGGCUCAACCGUAAAAUUGCAGUUGAUACUGGCUGUCUUGAGUACAGUAGAGGUGGGCGGAAUUCGUGGUGUAGCGGUGAAAUGCUUAGAUAUCACGAAGAACUCCGAUUGCGAAGGCAGCUCACUGGACUGCAACUGACACUGAUGCUCGAAAGUGUGGGUAUCAAACAGGAUUAGAUACCCUGGUAGUCCACGCCGUAAACGAUGAAUACUAGGUGUCGGGGCUCAUAAGAGCUCCGGUGCCGCAGCAAACGCAAUAAGUAUUCCACCUGGGGAGUACGCCGGCAACGGUGAAACUCAAAGGAAUUGACGGGGGCCCGCACAAGCGGAGGAACAUGUGGUUUAAUUCGAUGAUACGCGAGGAACCUUACCCGGGCUUAAAUUGCAUUUGAAUAUAUUGGAAACAGUAUAGUCGUAAGACAAAUGUGAAGGUGCUGCAUGGUUGUCGUCAGCUCGUGCCGUGAGGUGUCGGCUUAAGUGCCAUAACGAGCGCAACCCUUAUCUUUAGUUACUAACAGGUCAUGCUGAGGACUCUAGAGAGACUGCCGUCGUAAGAUGUGAGGAAGGUGGGGAUGACGUCAAAUCAGCACGGCCCUUACGUCCGGGGCUACACACGUGUUACAAUGGGGGGUACAGAAGGCAGCUACCUGGUGACAGGAUGCUAAUCCCAAAAGCCUCUCUCAGUUCGGAUCGAAGUCUGCAACCCGACUUCGUGAAGCUGGAUUCGCUAGUAAUCGCGCAUCAGCCAUGGCGCGGUGAAUACGUUCCCGGGCCUUGUACACACCGCCCGUCAAGCCAUGAAAGCCGGGGGUACCUGAAGUACGUAACCGCAAGGAGCGUCCUAGGGUAAAACUGGUAAUUGGGGCU